rnacentral:rRNA from 1 species
UAAGGAAUAUUGGUCAAUGGACGCAAGUCUGAACCAGCCAUGCCGCGUGAAGGAUGAAGGUCCUCUGGAUUGUAAACUUCUUUUAUCUGGGACGAAAACGGGAUUUUUAUCUCAAUUGACGGUACCAGAGGAAUAAGCACCGGCUAACUCCGUGCCAGCAGCCGCGGUAAUACGGAGGGUGCGAGCGUUAUCCGGAUUUACUGGGUUUAAAGGGUGCGUAGGUGGGCUUAUAAGUCAGUGGUGAAAUCUCCGAGCUUAACUUGGAAACUGCCGUUGAUACUAUAGCUCUUGAAUUAUCUGGAGGUAAGCGGAAUAUGUCAUGUAGCGGGGAAAUGCUUAGAUAUGACAUAGAACACCAAUUGCGAAGGCAGCUUACUACAUAUAAAUUGACGCUGAGGCACGAAAGCGUGGGGAUCAAACA